UACGGGGGGGGGCAAGCGUUGUUCGGAAUUACUGGGCGUAAAGGGCUCGUAGGUGGCCAACUAAGUCAGACGUGAAAUCCCCUCGGGCUUAACCGGGGAACUGCGUCUGAUACUGGAUGGCUUGAGUUUGGGAGAGGGACGCGGAAUUCCAGGUGUAGCGGUGAAAUGCGUAGAUAUCUGGAGGACACCGGUGGCGAAGGCGGCGUCCUGGACCAACACUGACACUGAGGAGCGAAAGCCAGGGGAGCAAACGGG
rnacentral:rRNA from 1 species